rnacentral:rRNA from 1 species
GAAACGACUGCUAAUACCGCAUAAGCCCACGGCUCGGCAUCGAGCAGAGGGAAAAGGAGCAAUCCGCUUUGAGAUGGCCUCGCGUCCGAUUAGCUAGUUGGUGAGGUAACGGCCCACCAAGGCGACGAUCGGUAGCCGGACUGAGAGGUUGAACGGCCACAUUGGGACUGAGACACGGCCCAGACUCCUACGGGAGGCAGCAGUGGGGAAUAUUGCACAAUGGGGGAAACCCUGAUGCAGCGACGCCGCGUGGAGGAAGAAGGUCUUCGGAUUGUAAACUCCUGUUGUUGAGGAAGAUAAUGACGGUACUCAACAAGGAAGUGACGGCUAACUACGUGCCAGCAGCCGCGGUAAAACGUAGGUCACAAGCGUUGUCCGGAAUUACUGGGUGUAAAGGGAGCGCAGGCGGGAGAACAAGUUGGAAGUGAAAUCCAUGGGCUCAACCCAUGAACUGCUUUCAAAACUGUUUUUCUUGAGUAGUGCAGAGGUAGGCGGAAUUCCCGGUGUAGCGGUGGAAUGCGUAGAUAUCGGGAGGAACACCAGUGGCGAAGGCGGCCUACUGGGCACCAACUGACGCUGAGGCUCGAAAGUGUGGGUAGCAAACAGGAUUAGAUACCCUGGUAGUCCACACCGUAAACGAUGAUUACGAGGUGUUGGAGGAUUGACCCCUUCAGUG